rnacentral:misc_RNA from 1 species
AAGUCGUAACAAGGUUUCCGUAGGUGAACCUGCGGAGGGAUCAUUAUUGAAUUCACUUGCUGAGUUGUUGCUGGUUCCGAAAGGUUCAUGUGCACGCUUGGUACUUGAUCUCUUUCCACCUGUGCACCUUUGUGAUGUAGGCUUUUGAGUUGCUGGUUGGAUUUAUUCGACCGGUAGCAACACAAGGCUUGCUCACGUAUUUUAAACUCCAUUUGUAUGUCUAGAAAGUCAUUUAUCGGUCGGAAGACCUUCAACCAUAACACAA